GCCGGCGUAGCUCAAUGGUAGAGCGGGCGUUUCAUAAGCGUCAUAAGAAGGUCCGAUUCCUUCCGCCGGCA
rnacentral:tRNA from 1 species